rnacentral:rRNA from 1 species
CCUACGGGCGACUGCAGUGGGGGAUAUUGGACAAUGGGGGGAACCCUGAUCCAGCGACGCCGCGUGAGUGAAGAAGUAUUUCGGUAUGUAAAGCUCUGUCAGCAGGGAAGAAAGAAAUGACGGUACCUGACCAAGAAGCCCCGGCUAACUACGUGCCAGCAGCCGCUGGAAUACGUAGGGGGCAAGCGUUAUCCGGAAUUACUGGGUGUAAAGGGAGCGUAGACGGUUAAGUAAGUCUGGAGUGAAAGGCCGGGGCCCAACCCCGGGACUGCUCUGGAAACUAUUGAACUUGAGUGCAGGAGAGGUAAGCGGAAUUCCUAGUGUAGCGGUGAAAUGCGUAGAUAUUAGGAGGAACACCAGUGGCGAAGGCGGCUUACUGGACUGUAACUGACGUUGAGGCUCGAAAGCGUGGGGAGCAAACAGGAUUAGAUACCCGUGUAGUC